rnacentral:rRNA from 1 species
CCUACGGGUGGCUGCAGUGGGGAAUAUUGGACAAUGGGCGAAAGCCUGAUCCAGCCAUGCCGCGUGUGUGAAGAAGGCCUUCGGGUUGUAAAGCACUUUCAGUGGGGAAGAAAGCCUUGGGGCUAAUACCCUCGAGGAAGGACAUCACCCACAGAAGAAGCACCGGCUAACUCCGUGCCAGCAGCCGCGGUAAUACGGAGGGUGCGAGCGUUAAUCGGAAUUACUGGGCGUAAAGCGCGCGUAGGCGGUCUGAUAAGCCGGUUGUGAAAGCCCCGGGCUCAACCUGGGAACGGCAUCCGGAACUGUCAGGCUAGAGUGCAGGAGAGGAAGGUAGAAUUCCCGGUGUAGCGGUGAAAUGCGUAGAGAUCGGGAGGAAUAACAGUGGCGAAGGCGGCCUUCUGGACUGACACUGACGCUGAGGUGCGAAAGCGUGGGUAGCAAACAGGAUUAGAUACCCUUGUAGUC